rnacentral:rRNA from 1 species
AAAGGAAGGGCAAAAUAUACUGCAAGUCGAACGAACUCUGGUAUUGAUUGGUGCUUGCAUCAUGAUUUACAUUUGAGUGAGUGGCGAACUGGUGAGUAACACGUGGGAAACCUGCCCAGAAGCGGGGGAUAACACCUGGAAACAGAUGCUAAUACCGCAUAACAACUUGGACCGCAUGGUCCGAGUUUGAAAGAUGGCUUCGGCUAUCACUUUUGGAUGGUCCCGCGGCGUAUUAGCUAGAUGGUGGGGUAACGGCUCACCAUGGCAAUGAUACGUAGCCGACCUGAGAGGGUAAUCGGCCACAUUGGGACUGAGACACGGCCCAAACUCCUACGGGAGGCAGCAGUAGGGAAUCUUCCACAAUGGACGAAAGUCUGAUGGAGCAACGCCGCGUGAGUGAAGAAGGGUUUCGGCUCGUAAAACUCUGUUGUUAAAGAAGAACAUAUCUGAGAGUAACUGUUCAGGUAUUGACGGUAUUUAACCAGAAAGCCACGGCUAACUACGUGCCAGCAGCCGCGGUAAUACGUAGGUGGCAAGCGUUGUCCGGAUUUAUUGGGCGUAAAGCGAGCGCAGGCGGUUUUUUAAGUCUGAUGUGAAAGCCUUCGGCUCAACCGAAGAAGUGCAUCGGAAACUGGGAAACUUGAGUGCAGAAGAGGACAGUGGAACUCCAUGUGUAGCGGUGAAAUGCGUAGAUAUAUGGAAGAACACCAGUGGCGAAGGCGGCUGUCUGGUCUGUAACUGACGCUGAGGCUCGAAAGUAUGGGUAGCAAACAGGAUUAGAUACCCUGGUAGUCCAUACCGUAAACGAUGAAUGCUAAGUGUUGGAGGGUUUCCGCCCUUCAGUGCUGCAGCUAACGCAUUAAGCAUUCCGCCUGGGGAGUACGGCCGCAAGGCUGAAACUCAAAGGAAUUGACGGGGGCCCGCACAAGCGGUGGAGCAUGUGGUUUAAUUCGAAGCUACGCGAAGAACCUUACCAGGUCUUGACAUACUAUGCAAAUCUAAGAGAUUAGACGUUCCCUUCGGGGACAUGGAUACAGGUGGUGCAUGGUUGUCGUCAGCUCGUGUCGUGAGAUGUUGGGUUAAGUCCCGCAACGAGCGCAACCCUUAUUAUCAGUUGCCAGCAUUAAGUUGGGCACUCUGGUGAGACUGCCGGUGACAAACCGGAAGAAGGUGGGGAUGAACGUCAAAUCAUCAUGGCCCCU